CCUACGGGGGGCAGCAGUGAGGAAUAUUGGUCAAUGGGCUUACGCCUGAACCAGCCAAGUCGCGUGAGGGAAGACUGCCCUAUGGGUUGUAAACCUCUUUUGUCAGGGAGCAACGCCGGCUACGUGUAGCCGGACUGAGAGUACCUGAAGAAAAAGCAUCGGCUAACUCCGUGCCAGCAGCCGCGGUAAUACGGAGGGGGCAAGCGUUAUCCGGAAUUACUGGGUGUAAAGGGAGCGUAGACGGUAAUGCAAGUCUGGAGUGAAAGGCGGGGGCCCAACCCCCGGACUGCUCUGGAAACUGUGUAACUGGAGUGCAGGAGAGGCAGGCGGAAUUCCUAGUGUAGCGGUGAAAUGCGUAGAUAUUAGGAGGAACACCAGUGGCGAAGGCGGCCUGCUGGACUGUAACUGACGUUGAGGCUCGAAAGCGUGGGGAGCAAACAGGAUUAGAUACCCCAGUAGUC
rnacentral:rRNA from 1 species